rnacentral:pre_miRNA from 1 species
GGCAUCAAAGUGGUGGUGAAAUGUUACCGCCUGUCAUAUCACAGCCAACUUUGAUGAGCU